rnacentral:rRNA from 1 species
UACGAAGGGGGCUAGCGUUGUUCGGAAUUACUGGGCGUAAAGCGCACGUAGGCGGGUCGUUAAGUCAGGGGUGAAAUCCCGGAGCUCAACUCCGGAACUGCCUUUGAUACUGGCGAUCUAGAGGUCGAGAGAGGUGAGUGGAAUUCCGAGUGUAGAGGUGAAAUUCGUAGAUAUUACGGCGAAGAACACCAGUGGCGAAAGGCGGCUCCACUGGCUCGAUACUGACGCUGAGGUGCGAAAGCGUGGGGAGCAAACAGG